UAAAUAUCAACGAACUUCUAUAAGCUAGACAAAAUCACCCGAACGAGACAGCAAAGGUUUUAUCCAUGUGACUCGAGUUGGAAAGUAACGCGUCCGGGAAUUGGACGGACUCCGGGGCUUUCCUUCUUCGUGAGAGGAAUCUUCCCUCGGCGCGUGCGCGUGGGCGCGCGCGUGUGACCGUGACCGCUGUUUUGAAUUUCAAACUCGGCGUCUCAAC
rnacentral:lncRNA from 1 species